rnacentral:rRNA from 1 species
AUUGAACGCUGGCGGCAGGCCUAACACAUGCAAGUCGAACGGUAACAGGAAGAAGCUUGCUUCUUUGCUGACGAGUGGCGGACGGGUGAGUAAUGUCUGGGAAACUGCCUGAUGGAGGGGGAUAACUACUGGAAACGGUAGCUAAUACCGCAUAACGUCGCAAGACCAAAGAGGGGGACCUUCUGGCCUCUUUCCAUCGGAUUUGCCCAGAUGGGAUUAGCUAGUAGGUGGGGUAACGGCUCACCUAGGCGACGAUCCCUAGCUGGUCUGAGAGGAGGACCAGCCGCACUGGAACUGAGACACGGUCCAGACUCCUACGGGAGGCAGCAGUGGGGAAUAUUGCACAAUGGGCGAAAGCCUGAUGCAGCCAUGCCGAGUGUAUGAAGAAGGCCUUCGGGUUGUAAAGUACUUUCAGCGGGGAGGAAGGGAGUAAAGUUAAUACCUUUGCUCAUUGACGUUACCCGCAGAAGAAGCACCGGCUAACUCCGUG